AACGUAGGGGGCCAGCGUUGCUCGGAAUUACUGGGCGUAAAGGGUCUGUAGGCGGUGCGGCAAGUCGGAAGUGAAAUCGCAGGGCUUAACUCUGCGGCUGCUUCCGAAACUGCCGUGCUCGAGUGUGAGAUAGGCGAGUGGAACUGCAGGUGUAGCGGUGAAAUGCGUAGAUAUCUGCAGGAACAUCCGAGGCGAAAGCGGCUCGCUGGAUCACAACUGACGCUGAGGCACGAAAGCGUGGGGAGCAAACAGG
rnacentral:rRNA from 1 species